GAGGGUAUAGCUCAGUGGUAGAGCACAUGCUUAGCAUGCACAAGGUCCUGGAUUCAAUCCCCAAUACCUCCU
rnacentral:tRNA from 1 species